rnacentral:rRNA from 1 species
AUUGAACGCUGGCGGCAGGCCUAACACAUGCAAGUCGAGCGGAUGAAGGGAGCUUGCUCCUGGAUUCAGCGGCGGACGGGUGAGUAAUGCCUAGGAAUCUGCCUGGUAGUGGGGGAUAACGUCCGGAAACGGGCGCUAAUACCGCAUACGUCCUGAUGGAGAAAGUGGGGGAUCUUCGGACCUCACGCUAUCAGAUGAGCCUAGGUCGGAUUAGCUAGUUGGUGGGGUAAAGGCCUACCAAGGCGACGAUCCGUAACUGGUCUGAGAGGAUGAUCCGUCACACUGGAACUGAGACACGGUCCAGACUCCUACGGGAGGCAGCAGUGGGGAAUAUUGGACAAUGGGCGAAAGCCUGAUCCAGCCAUGCCGCGUGUGUGAAGAAGGUCUUCGGAUUGUAAAGCACUUUAAGUUGGGAGGAAGGGCAGUAAGUUAAUACCUUGCUGUUUUGACGGUACCAACAGAAUAAGCACCGGCUAACUUCGUG